GCCAGGUGUGAUGGCUCGCACCUGUAAUCCCAGCACUUUGGGAGGCUGAGGUGGGUGGAUCACCUGAGGUCGGGAGUUCAAGACCAGCCUGACCAAUACGGUGAAAUCCCGUCUCUA
rnacentral:SRP_RNA from 1 species